rnacentral:rRNA from 1 species
GUGAGGAAUAUUGGACAAUGGGCGCAAGUCUGAUCCAGCCAUGCCGCGUGCAGGAAGACGCAUCUAUGGUGUGUAAACUGCUUUUGUACGGGAAGAAACACUCCCUCGUGAGGGAGCUUGACGGUACCGUAAGAAUAAGGAUCGGCUAACUCCGUGCCAGCAGCCGCGGUAAUACGGAGGAUCCAAGCGUUAUCCGGAAUCAUUGGGUUUAAAGGGUCCGUAGGCGGUUUAAUAAGUCAGUGGUGAAAGCCCAUCGCUCAACGAUGGAACGGCCAUUGAUACUGUUAGACUUGAAUUACAAGGAAGUAACUAGAAUAUGUAGUGUAGCGGUGAAAUGCUUAGAUAUUACAUGGAAUACCAAUUGCGAAGGCAGGUUACUACUUGUGGAUUGACGCUGAUGGACGAAAGCGUGGGGAGCGAACAGGAUUAGAAACCCCAGUAGUCC